GGUUAAGCGACUAAGCGUACACGGUGGAUGCCCUGGCAGUCAGAGGCGAUGAAGGACGUGCUAAUCUGCGAUAAGCGUCGGUAAGGUGAUAUGAACCGUUAUAACCGGCGAUUUCCGAAUGGGGAAACCCAGUGUGUUUCGACACACUAUCAUUAACUGAAUCCAUAGGUUAAUGAGGCGAACCGGGGGAACUGAAACAUCUAAGUACCCCGAGGAAAAGAAAUCAACCGAGAUUCCCCCAGUAGCGGCGAGCGAACGGGGAGCAGCCCAGAGCCUGAAUCAGUGUGUGUGUUAGUGGAAGCGUCUGGAAAGGCGCGCGAUACAGGGUGACAGCCCCGUACACAAAAAUGCACAUACUGUGAGCUCGAUGAGUAGGGCGGGACACGUGGUAUCCUGUCUGAAUAUGGGGGGACCAUCCUCCAAGGCUAAAUACUCCUGACUGACCGAUAGUGAACCAGUACCGUGAGGGAAAGGCGAAAAGAACCCCGGCGAGGGGAGUGAAAAAGAACCUGAAACCGUGUACGUACAAGCAGUGGGAGCCUCUUUUAUGGGGUGACUGCGUACCUUUUGUAUAAUGGGUCAGCGACUUAUAUUCUGUAGCAAGGUUAACCGAAUAGGGGAGCCGAAGGGAAACCGAGUCUUAACCGGGCGUUAAGUUGCAGGGUAUAGACCCGAAACCCGGUGAUCUAGCCAUGGGCAGGUUGAAGGUUGGGUAACACUAACUGGAGGACCGAACCGACUAAUGUUGAAAAAUUAGCGGAUGACUUGUGGCUGGGGGUGAAAGGCCAAUCAAACCGGGAGAUAGCUGGUUCUCCCCGAAAGCUAUUUAGGUAGCGCCUCGUGAAUUCAUCUCCGGGGGUAGAGCACUGUUUCGGCAAGGGGGUCAUCCCGACUUACCAACCCGAUGCAAACUGCGAAUACCGGAGAAUGUUAUCACGGGAGACACACGGCGGGUGCUAACGUCCGUCGUGAAGAGGGAAACAACCCAGACCGCCAGCUAAGGUCCCAAAGUCAUGGUUAAGUGGGAAACGAUGUGGGAAGGCCCAGACAGCCAGGAUGUUGGCUUAGAAGCAGCCAUCAUUUAAAGAAAGCGUAAUAGCUCACUGGUCGAGUCGGCCUGCGCGGAAGAUGUAACGGGGCUAAACAAUGCACCGAAGCUGCGGCAGCGACACUGUGUGUUGUUGGGUAGGGGAGCGUUCUGUAAGCCUGUGAAGGUGUACUGUAAGGUAUGCUGGAGGUAUCAGAAGUGCGAAUGCUGACAUAAGUAACGAUAAAGCGGGUGAAAAGCCCGCUCGCCGGAAGACCAAGGGUUCCUGUCCAACGUUAAUCGGGGCAGGGUGAGUCGACCCCUAAGGCGAGGCCGAAAGGCGUAGUCGAUGGGAAACAGGUUAAUAUUCCUGUACUUGGUGUUACUGCGAAGGGGGGACGGAGAAGGCUAUGUUGGCCGGGCGACGGUUGUCCCGGUUUAAGCGUGUAGGCUGGUUUUCCAGGCAAAUCCGGAAAAUCAAGGCUGAGGCGUGAUGACGAGGCACUACGGUGCUGAAGCAACAAAUGCCCUGCUUCCAGGAAAAGCCUCUAAGCAUCAGGUAACAUCAAAUCGUACCCCAAACCGACACAGGUGGUCAGGUAGAGAAUACCAAGGCGUUUGAGAGAACUCGGGUGAAGGAACUAGGCAAAAUGGUGCCGUAACUUCGGGAGAAGGCACGCUGAUAUGUAGGUGAAGUCCCUCGCGGAUGGAGCUGAAAUCAGUCGAAGAUACCAGCUGGCUGCAACUGUUUAUUAAAAACACAGCACUGUGCAACACGAAAGUGGACGUAUACGGUGUGACGCCUGCCCGGUGCCGGAAGGUUAAUUGAUGGGGUCAGCGCAAGCGAAGCUCUUGAUCGAAGCCCCGGUAAACGGCGGCCGUAACUAUAACGGUCCUAAGGUAGCGAAAUUCCUUGUCGGGUAAGUUCCGACCUGCACGAAUGGCGUAAUGAUGGCCAGGCUGUCUCCACCCGAGACUCAGUGAAAUUGAACUCGCUGUGAAGAUGCAGUGUACCCGCGGCAAGACGGAAAGACCCCGUGAACCUUUACUAUAGCUUGACACUGAACAUUGAGCCUUGAUGUGUAGGAUAGGUGGGAGGCUUUGAAGUGUGGACGCCAGUCUGCAUGGAGCCGACCUUGAAAUACCACCCUUUAAUGUUUGAUGUUCUAACGUGGACCCGUGAUCCGGGUUGCGGACAGUGUCUGGUGGGUAGUUUGACUGGGGCGGUCUCCUCCUAAAGAGUAACGGAGGAGCACGAAGGUUGGCUAAUCCUGGUCGGACAUCAGGAGGUUAGUGCAAUGGCAUAAGCCAGCUUGACUGCGAGCGUGACGGCGCGAGCAGGUGCGAAAGCAGGUCAUAGUGAUCCGGUGGUUCUGAAUGGAAGGGCCAUCGCUCAACGGAUAAAAGGUACUCCGGGGAUAACAGGCUGAUACCGCCCAAGAGUUCAUAUCGACGGCGGUGUUUGGCACCUCGAUGUCGGCUCAUCACAUCCUGGGGCUGAAGUAGGUCCCAAGGGUAUGGCUGUUCGCCAUUUAAAGUGGUACGCGAGCUGGGUUUAGAACGUCGUGAGACAGUUCGGUCCCUAUCUGCCGUGGGCGCUGGAGAACUGAGGGGGGCUGCUCCUAGUACGAGAGGACCGGAGUGGACGCAUCACUGGUGUUCGGGUUGUCAUGCCAAUGGCACUGCCCGGUAGCUAAAUGCGGAAGAGAUAAGUGCUGAAAGCAUCUAAGCACGAAACUUGCCCCGAGAUGAGUUCUCCCUGACCCUUUAAGGGUCCUGAAGGAACGUUGAAGACGACGACGUUGAUAGGCCGGGUGUGUAAGCGCAGCGAUGCGUUGAGCUAACCGGUACUAAUGAACCGUGAGGCUUAACCUU
rnacentral:rRNA from 1 species